UACGAAGGGGGCUAGCGUUGUUCGGAAUUACUGGGCGUAAAGUGUGCGCAGGCGGCACCGCAAGUCGAGUGUGAAAGCCCCGGGCUUAACUUGGGAAUUGCGCUCGAAACUAUGGUGCUGGAGUGUGGCAGAGGAAGGUGGAAUUCCAGGUGUAGCGGUGAAAUGCGUAGAGAUCUGGAGGAACACCGAUGGCGAAGGCAGCCUUCUGGGCCAACACUGACGCUCAUGCACGAAAGCGUGGGGAGCAAACAGG
rnacentral:rRNA from 1 species